rnacentral:rRNA from 1 species
AAAACACACCUACGGGAGGCAGCAGUCGAGAAUCAUUCACAAUGGGGGCAACCCUGAUGGUGCGACGCCGCGUGGAGGAUAAGGUCUUCGGAUUGUAAACUCCUGUCAUGCGAGAGCAAGAUUUGAGCGGGUAACUCCGCUGAAUUUGAUAGUAUCGCAAGAGGAAGAGACGGCUAACUCUGUGCCAGCAGCCGCGGUAAUACAGAGGUCUCAAGCGUUGUUCGGAAUCACUGGGCGUAAAGGGUGCGUAGGUGGCGUGGAAAGUCAGAUGUGAAAUCCGGGGGCUCAACCUCCGAAUAGCAUCCGAUACUCCCAUGCUAGAGAACUGGAGGGGGAUCUG